AUGCCCUUGGACUUCACGAGGCACUUCCCAUCCGUGCCGCAGGAAUUCAAGCUGAAGACGAACACCGACUGCUUCUGGAGGGUCAUUGUCCGACUGUUGAACGGCAGGGUUACCCUCAAUCAGGGUUGGGCCACCUUCGCCGCUGUCCAUCAGAUCAAGAUAGGCUUCAUGGUGACCUUUAAGCUGUUGACUCCCGACAUGUUGAAGGUCAUCGUCUUCAAUGACGAUGGCAUUGAAGUGGUGACUAGGUGCAGGAGGCACGACGACGCCUUCGCCAUGAACGUCUGUGACAAUCCCUCGUAUGCUCCAGUUGCUUUAGUUUAA
rnacentral:rRNA from 1 species